UUCUCUCUCUCACGGGCUCGGCUUGCUCUGGCUUUUGAUGUUUUCUCCUGGACUCUGCUAAGCAAUCUCGAUUUGCUUUUCUGAUAAACCCGUCCGGGAAAAGGAGAAACAAAUAUGCUUCAGUUUGGGUCGGAUUUAACUGGGUAAACCACAAUUCUCAUGGCCGCCCCAAAUGCAAUUCGAGCGUCAGCUAAAGUAGGUUUAGUCGGAAACAAAGAUGCCCAUGUUGGGGAUAAUUUCUCUACUAGGCGGA
rnacentral:lncRNA from 1 species